rnacentral:lncRNA from 1 species
AAUAAUAAGUAUGGCAUUACAAAGAUGAACGAGAAAUAAGUCAUUGAAAGGUAGUUUAUAAUCUUUUUUGUCAUAUUUACAAAACUAUAAAACAAUGUACUAUAAUUGCUAUAUCAUAUUUUCAAAAUGCUAUAACGUCCAAUUUUUAUUUAUUUAUUUAUUCGGACUUUAACAAAUAAAUAUAUACAUAAAAAAGGAAAUGCAUGAAUAUAUAUCUUGUAGUGACUUGAGGUUUAGAUGAAGAUAUACAUGUCGAUAGAUAGGGGUAUUGAAUAGAAAGAGAAGAAGGUGGUUGAGGCAUAUGAAAAAGACCCGAGAGAGAGGUAACAUCCUCACUCCAAUCAUAAUCCCAUGCUGGGUGUGGUUGAGAUUUUCACCUUCAAAAUUUAAAACUAAGGAGACACGCUCGAUCCUUUCAUGAUUCUCAUGUCCAAAUGGGUAUUUGAUUAUCUAAUAAAAUGAAAUUGAGAUUCGAUUAGACAACUCAAACAAACACCCCUCCUUUAGAUACGUACAAGUCAAUUAAUACAUACAAAAAGAGAAAAGAGAGAAAAGAGGAGAGUUGGGUAUUAAAUUGGAAGAGGGAAGGGAUAUUGAAUGGGAGGUUUUAAGUGAAGAAGAGGGAGCACGUGUUAGUGUUUAACAGAGACUGCCAUUUUAACUGUUACCGCUGCUAUACCGUUAAAUUCUACCCACCCACUGCUUCUGCUUCUCACUCCAUCUCUCCCACCCUCUUUUUCUUUCCUUUGAAGUUUGUGUUUAAUUAUUUUACUUUGAUUAUGUAAGUCAAAGUAGAGGGAGAGAAUAAUGUGUAUCCUUACCAACUCAUUCUUUGAUAUUAUUACAGGACCAUGAAGAACUGGGUUUUCGUAAUUUUGAUACCAUCCACGACUCCCAAUAACUUUGUGCAUGCUUUUACAAUCAAUGUCAAUUAAAGCAUCGACAUGAAUUGAAAUAUAGUUUAUUAAUUACAUAUAUAUGUUUUCUUGAAAUUAUUUGAGGAGAGAGCUUAGCAUGCAACAACAGAAUCAUCCUUUGGAGAAUGAUCAAAUGACGUUAGUCAAACAAAAUAAAUAAUCUCUUAUUUUCUUAAUUAAAAAGAAACUGCGAAACUUAUUUAAAACUAAUUUAAAGAGUAUAAAUUAAAAUUAAAAUGAAAGGAAAGGAAUAAAUAUAUAUACACACAUAAAGGUACAGAAUCCCAGUUUUCCUUCUAGAAGGGUAGUAACGAAGUUUUCAAUUAUUAACUACUAUGAGGAUUGAGUAGACAAUAGACAUGAAAAUUCAUGAAAGUUACUCUUUCUUUUAGAGAAGUAGAAGAAGUGAAAAAAGAUAUAUAGUAAAAAGUAUAAAAUUAUUGUUGACUUUUGAUAUAUAAAUAUAAAAAUAAUGGCUGAAGAAAAUUGAUAUAAUGUGUAUUGACAUUAAAUGAAUGAAGUGAGAAACCGUGAGUGGCGUAACUGAUGGGGAAGAGGAUGGGUGUGUGUUGCAUCUACCUCUUUAAUUAGGGUUUUAUUUUUUGGAUUGGACCAUAUCUCUCGUGACGAUAAUAAUUUAAUUCAUAAGUUCUUCUUCAUAACUAUACCAACUCAUUAUUUUUUCAAUAAGUUGGUUGUAUGCAGUUAUAUAUAGUUUGACCAUAAAUAUUAUUAUGGUGAUCUCAAACUUUGUAGGGAAUAAAUAUUUUGAAAUCAAACUGGGAGGUUAGGAGGGAGGAAAGAAGCUUCGGCCAUCAUUUUCACUACUCACUACUCACUACUGCUAUCAUCAUAUCAUCAUAUCAUCAUAUAUAAUGUAUGUAUUAUUCAAAAAAGAAAAGUGGAAUUGUCAACAAUGAUGUCAUUGAUAAAAUAUUUACCAUUUAUCAUCAACUUGUGUGUGAUGGAUUUUUGUGAUUCUGUAAUGAGCUCUUGCUUGGUUUUUUAUGUAUUCUUCUUAGAAAACUUUAGAAGAAAAGCAAUGUGAUUUUAUCUAGCAGAAGAAAAGGAAUUGAUGGUUGAAUUUUUAUAAGGAAAAAACAAAUGAAAGGUAUCUUCUUGAUCGAUGUUUGAUGUGUGUUGGAUUCUAGUUUUUGAAAAAUUGCAUUGGGUGGAAAAUUUAUAUUAGUGUGUUAAAAAUAUGAUAAAUUAUUGAGAUAUUAGCUUUGUAAGCUACAACAACUCUAUAUGACGACAAACCAAUGACAAUGAGAACAACAACGUACUAACCACAAAGAGAUUGAACGUGACAACGAUAGUUGUAGACGAAGACCGCUACGUUUGAAGGUUGAUCAAUGAUUAGAUAUCUAUGAGAACAAAUAGAUGGUAUCUCAAUCUGUGGAGCUUCCUGCCCUUCACUAUACUAGCAUUUGCCUAGCCACGUUACUCAUUCGAUUGUCAGUUGCUGUUGUUGGUAAGUUCUCUUGUGAUUUUCCUUCUCCUCUAAUGUGCGAUAGCCCCUUGGGGAAAGGCUAUCCAACUUAUUGUGAUAGAUAAAGAAGUUGUUCUAAUUAAAUGAAAAUCCAUUUAAGUACAAACUUGGAACAAAUCAUGUUGGAUUUUUUGUCAAUAAGAAUUAUUAAGAAUUCUUUUUAUUAUAUACUGAUCGGGGUUACUUUACAAAAUUGGAUAAAGUAAUAUUCAUAUAAAAAGAUAAAAAGAUUGUGUCCUCGUUGACAAGAAUCUUUUAAUCUUUUAUCUAUAUCUUUCAAAUAAAAAAAAUCCGAAAGAUUUGAUAAAGUCUUUAGAUAUUGGAAGCUCCACUCUUGGUUCAGAGGCACUUUACUGAACAUUCAAUUCGAAAGCAUUCUUUCAAGAGAAAGGUUUCAAAGGUAUAUCAAUUAUCUUCUUUGUGAUGACAAAUUACUAAAGAUCUACAAGUAAUCUUACUGUGUACCAACUGAUAAGAAAUAUGAAAGAAAAUUGAACCUAGUUGAACUGCAGUUAAUGAAUUUAAAUGGAGUAUGAGUUUAUCUUCAAGUAUAUUCAAAUACAAACUCACAGGAGCCUGUCAUUGAUUGUUGUUGUUGUUGCUUGUUCUCCAGACAUAGGUGGUAUUUAUCGAGUUGGGUUAACAAAGUCUUUUGUCUUAUUAGUUUUUUCUAUUUCCUUAGUUAUUCUCACGAUUAAAUAGUUUAAGUAUAGCUAAAUGAUAUAAAUAGAUUUGUAGGGAUGAAUGAAUGAAAAUGAUUUAUAUAUUUUAAAUAUAUGAAAAGGAAAAAUAUAUAUAAAAGAAUAAUUGUGGGCUGAAAAAACAGCGGAGCAAGUGGAAGCCAAAUUAUAUAUAUAAAACAAUUGAAUACAAAAAAACGUGUUGUAUAUUAUUUAUUAUUAUAUAAUGGUAGGCUGCGGAUUAUAUCAUUCUUUUUAAAUAAUCAUAAUCAUAUAUGUAUGUAUAUAUAUAUAUAUAUAAAGGUCAAUUGAAUGGUGAAUUGUAAUAUAGGAAGCUAUAUUGACUUGACUUUCCCAGUUGUGAAUUGGGAGGCAACUCUUUUUGAACUUUCAAAUCAAAUCAAUACAUUAAUUAACCCAUCUAAUUAUCUAAUUAUGCUCUUAAUUUUUAUUUUUAAUAUAUAUAAUUGAUUGAUGCCCUUUUGGGCUUGUGAAAAAGAAUUAAGAUAAGGUGCUUUGAGAUGGAGCACAUUCU